rnacentral:misc_RNA from 1 species
GUAAAAUUGGUAAUCGAUUUUUUUUCAGUACGCUGUCUUUGGGUUGAUAACUGCCAAUUUUGAUUGGAGGUUAAAGGUAAUUUUGUCUCAGGGAAAGCGAAGGGAUGUUCAUUUUGAUUCAUUCUAAAUUCUCAUAAAAAGCCAAAUGGGGGGAAGGGGAAGACGAUGCCCUUAACCAGAAAGGUCAAGGGCAAAAUUGACCGAGAUUAAAAAUCCGCUGUAGCAGAUAGCAUCACCGUACGAGGGGCACCCAACGCAAGGCUAGCGUAAUGGGUGGUAGUCCAAUAUGCUUCAUCGGUUACGUUGUUGACCGCAAGACGCCAAAUGACACUUUGAUUGGCGAUGGUAGAGUUAUAGCGAGCACCUAAAUCAAAAAUAGUCUGUGCAGACAGUGAUUGAGUGUUUUGUGCAUCAAUAUAUUGCUCUG